UGAUGCCGGGGCGAAGCGAGAUUCGCGGCCUGCUUGCGCUGAUGCUGCUGCACGAUGCACGGCGCACCAGCCGCGAGACAGCGGAGGGUGACAUCGUACUGCUGGAGCAUCAGGACCGCACGCUAUGGGAUCGCGUCCAGAUCGCCGAGGGACUGGCGCUUGUCGAACAGGCGCUGUCGGAGCCGGGCCGCCCCAAUUCUUACGCGGUGCAGGCGGCCAUCGCAGCGCUGCAUGCGCGUGCGCCAAGUUUUGCGGAAACGGACUGGCCGCAG
rnacentral:misc_RNA from 1 species